rnacentral:rRNA from 1 species
UGCAGUCGAACGAUGAUCCGGUGCUUGCAUCGGGGAUUAGUGGCGAACGGGUGAGUAACACGUGAGUAACCUGCCCUUGACUCUGGGAUAAGCCUGGGAAACUGGGUCUAAUACCGGAUACGACCGAUCACCGCAUGGUGUGUUGGUGGAAAGCUUUUGCGGUUUUGGAUGGACUCGCGGCCUAUCAGCUUGUUGGUGGGGUAAUGGCCUACCAAGGCGACGACGGGUAGCCGGCCUGAGAGGGUGACCGGCCACACUGGGACUGAGACACGGCCCAGACUCCUACGGGAGGCAGCAGUGGGGAAUAUUGCACAAUGGGCGAAAGCCUGAUGCAGCGACGCCGCGUGAGGGAUGACGGCCUUCGGGUUGUAAACCUCUUUCAGUAGGGAAGAAGCGAAAGUGACGGUACCUGCAGAAGAAGCGCCGGCUAACUACGUGCCAGCAGCCGCGGUAAUACGUAGGGCGCAAGCGUUAUCCGGAAUUAUUGGGCGUAAAGAGCUCGUAGGCGGUUUGUCGCGUCUGCUGUGAAAGACCGGGGCUCAACUCCGGUUCUGCAGUGGGUACGGGCAGACUAGAGUGAUGUAGGGGAGACUGGAAUUCCUGGUGUAGCGGUGAAAUGCGCAGAUAUCAGGAGGAACACCGAUGGCGAAGGCAGGUCUCUGGGCAUUAACUGACGCUGAGGAGCGAAAGCAUGGGGAGCGAACAGGAUUAGAUACCCUGGUAGUCCAUGCCGUAAACGGGGCACUAGGUGUGGGGGACAUUCCACGUUUUCCGCGCCGUAGCUAACGCAUUAAGUGCCCCGCCUGGGGAGUACGGCCGCAAGGCUAAAACUCAAAGGAAUUGACGG